rnacentral:rRNA from 1 species
UACGUAGGGUGCGAGCGUUGUCCGGAAUUACUGGGCGUAAAGAGCUCGUAGGCGGUUUGUCGCGUCGUCCGUGAAAACUUGGGGCUCAACCCCAAGCUUGCGGGCGAUACGGGCAGACUUGAGUACUGCAGGGGAGACUGGAAUUCCUGGUGUAGCGGUGAAAUGCGCAGAGAUCCGGAAGAACACCGGUGGCGAAGGCGGCAUCCUGGACCAACACUGACACUGGAGGAGCGA